UGGCUAAGAAGGUGGCAGCCUCCACAGG
rnacentral:sRNA from 1 species